AGGUUUCGAGAGUGAGGACAGCUACUUUCAAUGCUCUAGAGUGAGAAUGAGCUGGGAAUGGCAGAAGAAGGCCAGGAGAACUGCAGUGAGGAUGAGGGCAAUGGAUGGAAGGAAAAAAUGAGAAAACAGUAAAGGAAGGACAGAGCAAGGAGUGAUGGAGAAACGUCGAAGCUUCGAGUUGAUGGGAAGGAAGAAACCUGGGCACCAAGAAAGGAAGGACCAGGGGCCCUGCAGCCUGCAGAGGGUGGUCCCGGUGGCUGCAUGGUUUCCACUUACCCGACCUGAGCAGCAUUGCCCGGUACAGCCCGGUGGCUUCGGCCGGCGCUUUGCCCCACUCGCCCAGUUUCUGCGCCAUGCCUUCAGCUGAGUGUCCGGACCCGGGAGCCUGGACUAGGAGCCUGGGAAGUGGCUCAGUGAUAGUGACACGCCCUGCUGCUCCACCCGCCCAGGGAUCUGGUUACUGUAGGCGUAGGCGUAGGCUUAGGAGACACUGAGGUGGUGUAAGAGGCCAGGGCACAGGCAAUCUCUGUGCCUGGAGCAGUCAGGGAGCAGCGGGCGUCCGGACACCGUUGCAGCAUCACAUGGAGCACCGCCGACUUCCUUCCAGCCUGGCCUCUUGCCCGCUUGGCCCAGUUCUUGGCCACUGGCCUCUGUGAAGGCUGCAAGCAGGUAUGGGAUUCGCAAGCGUCAUUCCUGGGAUUCAUUCCCAGCCAGGCUGGUGAAGAGAAGAAAGUCAGGGUCCUCAUCCGAGAUGAGUGGAGAGCCAUAGUCUUUCACCCACAGGGUUAUUAAGGUGAGAUUUGGUACAAAGUGCUACGAACCCAACAGUUUGGAGUAAACACUAUGCACGCGUACUUUUGACUUGUGGUUUGAGGAUGUUGCUCAGUUUGUAGGAUGCUUGAACGAAGCCUGGGGUUCAUGACACAGCGGGGCAUAAAACCCGGGAUGGUGGUGCACACCUGUAAUCCUAGAGUUUAGGAAGCGGAAAUAGGAGGAUCAGAAAUUCAUGGUCAUCCUCAGCUACAUAGCUAGUUUGAGACCAGACUGGGCUAUGUGAGAGCUGUCUCAAAACACAAGCACAUAAACAAACACACGGCAAAGAUUCGGAAGAGGUAGUGUCUUUGCUGGGGUAGAAAAAAGCUGAAGGGGAAAGUAGGUAGGACGCCACAAGAAUGAUUUCCCACCAGGCAGUUGUGGAAUUUGCAGAUAUCCAUAGCUUUGGUUACCUGCUCUGCCUGCCCUGGGCUACAGCGCUCUAAACCAAGAGAAUAUAAAUUAUGCACUCUUUGUGUUCUAGCUCAUUUAGUCUUUACAAAGCUGAGUCUCUUAGCAUUUUCCUUUUACAAAGGAGAGGAAACAGAAGCCCAGAGAGGCUAAUCUACUCUCUGAAGUCACUCAGCAUGGAGCUAGGACACAACUUCAGAUGGUCUGACCCCAGACGCUGAUUCUUCUCCACUGCCUCUGUUAUUGAAGUCACGCUUCAAGGCGGUCCUAAAGGCUGAGUCUUACCUCCAGUGUAGAGAUGGAGUCACCGAGACUUGGCAGGUGAAAUGACUUGGCCACACUUACACACUUAGAAUUCAGCCAGUUGUGGAUCCAUGAAAUUUGUAUCUGAAAACAUGGCCACUGUCUAGGACAUUGGACAGUUCUAGGCUCUGCCUGAGUGGGCCAAGAGAUGAUAGCCCCCUUCAUGCCGUCUACCGUCCUGCCUUCUUGUUCACCUGCCGGCUGUAAUCUCUUUGGUUGGCCCACAGUUACUGCCCAGACCCAGCUUGUGUACCAGAGGCCUUGGUAUUCUGCUGUUCAGACACCAUCCAGUGUCCCAGGGUACGUCGGACACACUUCAGACAUCUUUCAGGAUCUCAAGGUGACCCUGACCUUCAGGAGCCUCACUGAUUGGCCUAGCUGAACAUGUUUGUCAUCAGCGCCCAGAUGUCAGCAUCAGGCAUGACUUGACUGUCAUAGCCUUUCUUCAGAGGACGGGAACGAUAGACAGCUUACAGUUCAUCUCAUUGGACCCACUCGGUGGCUCACUGACCCAGCUGUGCUUCUGAGCAUAGGCUCAAGGGACUUGUUUACUAUCGCUUCACUGGUCAAUAGCAGAGUUGGGAUCUAGACGGCCCUACAACUUACUGCCAUGGAUAGAGCAAGGCACUUAUUGAGUAGAGAGGGAUUAAGGAAAAGGGUAGCUGAGGCAUAUGCCUUUGAUGAGUGUGUGGAAAAUGACUCUGGUUGGGCCCUGGUAAACUGCAUGUGGGCCAGACUCACCUACUCCAUUUAGUUUAUAUAUGUCAUUUCUACCAUGGGAUCUGGCCCAACGAGAAUAUUCUGUCAACAGAUAGAAAGACGGAGUAAGGAGGUGAUUGGUUCUUCUAGGAAGGUGAGGGACGAUGACAUUUUCAUAAAAUCACUGAACUGUGGGUAGGGGACAUGACUCAGAUUGUAAAGUUCUUGGUACAUAAGCAUGAAGACCUGAGUUUGGAUUCCCAGAACCCAUGUAAAUCUGGGUGUAAUGACAUACAUUAGAGACAGAUUUGUAGGUCCUUUUAGCCAGUCAGUCUAGUUGAGUCAGUGGGCUCCAGGUUCAGUGAGAUCCCUGAGAUAGUUCACUUGGUAAAGAUGCUUGUAGCCAAGACUGAUUACUUAAGUUUGAUCCCAGGGACCCACAUGAGGGAAGGAGAUAACCAACUCCUACAAGUUGUCUUCUGACCUUUGUACACGCCAUUCAGCUGGCCACCUCGAGGACUGGUCAGGGCGAAAGUUUUCCCUAGGGAAAUCACUGUGUGUUUUUUUUAAUGUGCGUGUAUUUAUAAGACUUAUAAAGAGUUAUUUUAUUUAAA